CUCAGAAAUAAGGGAACUAUGUAUCAACUGAAAAGGAAUUCCAGAUACAUAACCAGUAAAAGCAGGAAGAGGCAUGAGGGAGUGAAAAAUACUGGCUGAAUAUUUGCAUGUGGCUGUAAAAGCUUGCUUCCAAGGCCUGUGGCAAACAGCAUCUGUAAGUGGUGAAAACAAAUCGGAUAGAUGGGGUUUUCAUAACAGCUAGGCUGAUGAAGCUUAAAACAAAAGAUAUGAUAGUCUUGCUUUCUUGUGAUAGAAAGAACAAAACCCAGAAUGGCGCAGAACUCCUCUACAAGUGACGUGCAGGAGUAUGCCUAUUUUACAUAAUAUCAGUAAAAUCAUCUGUAAAACAGCCAUAGAUAGAUCUACUUCUGUAAAUUAUUGACCCCCUCUUGACCUUUUUGUUUUCCCCUGACCAUACGCUCUUACAGAAACACACAGAUGAACAUUUAAUCACGUACCCGCUCUGAUAUUUCUGAUGCACUGCCCUUGUUUCCUGACAGAACAACAUCUCACUUUGUAGCUAAAUGGCACUGGGAUGAAAAAUCUGAGUAUUUUUGUCGCCAGGUAAUAGAAGAAAGAUUUUACUGCAUCUUUAAAAAUAAGUCAUAGGAUUUGGAUGAGUCACAAAAACAAACCCAAAACACACAAAAACCUGUUAUUAGAUGUUUUAAAAUGCACUACACAGAAUAUGAAUUUAUCCAACCGGAAAUUUAUAAGAAAGAAAACCUCCUUACUUCAUCUAGUUUCACUUGCAUUUUCAUCUGAAUGGAGUUGAACAAUUUCUUAUUUAUAUCAAUAAACAGAUGGUUCAGCAAGACACAUUUUUAAGGUAUGGACCAAACUGCCUGCAUUCACACCUCAUCACUUAAUGUGGUCUUAAACCAAGAGGAAAGUUUCCCCAGGUAUAUACGAAAAGCCAGAGUUCUUGGUGUUGUUUCAGGUAAAUACCAAAGUCAAAGUGAAUUGCUUUAUAUUUAUAUUUGGGGUUGUUUGUUAAGGACCAACCUGACUCCACACACAUUAAAUUUAUGAAAACAAGACUAAAAAAAUAUGAUUUGAGAGCAACUAAAAAUACAACCAGCACAUGAAGGAACGUCUGUGUAUGUGUACUACAAAAAAUUUAAAAGCUAUAGACAACUUUUAUAGGCUCUACAGUGUGAGCAAUCCUUUAAAUACACAAAUACCUUCAGUUCAGUGCUACGCUGAACUGGAUUUUUGAAACUGCACAGGUUUGACUGGUUUUUCCAAAUAAAACCUUAGCUGAAAUACAGAUUAAAAAAAUGUAAAGAGAUGACUAUGAGCAGUGUUAACAUAUCUGUCCACUAUGGAAUUGAGUAGCUACAACCAGAAGAACAAAAUACAAAGCAAGCGUGCAAAGGAUCUGGAACGCUGCAGUUUCACAGACAUCUGGACAUGUAAGUACAAAACACUCAACCUGUAAAUACAAAUUGAUUCCAUCAGGUUUACUAUACAGUAUGUUAGUAGUAGUAGAUAGAUAGUUGAAAACAGUUUUCUCUUAACAGCGAAAUUAAUUUUGGAGGGAACAAAAUGGUGACAUCUCAUCCUGGAGAACAGCAAGAGAGGUAUUAUAUUAAAGGAGCUAAAAUUUUCUUUGGCAUGGUAAAAAGGGAGAAUUGAGUUGGCCAACAUAUUUACACGAAGUUUCACCAUACUGUGGCCAGUGCAAUCAUGUUUUGCACAGUCUACUUCUUACAUAAACUUUUUUGUUGUUUUUCAAUAUGCCUUCAUAUAAAUGUUUUAUUCAUCAUGUUCAAUCUGUGUAUACAACAAAUAAUAAUAAAGACAAACUGUACAAUGCAGACAAACUCUUUGCAUAUAUGUAUGUAGAUUCAGUAAUACAGAUGAACAAUUCCUUGAUACACUCAACCUUUUACAUGCAGUUCAUCCUUACCACCCCCUUCCCAUGCAACAGACGAGACAAGACAAAAUUAAAAGGAGGAAACAAAGCACAGAAACCCCAUUUCUGUGUUUAAACAGAUUGUAGAAAAAGAAAUAUUUUUUAGGACAACGAUUCACUGUAUUAAAUACACAUACGCAUUUAGACCACAGAAACAAAAAGAGAAAUUAAAAAUAUUAUGGUGCAUUUUCAGUAUGUAUGAACUGCUUAUGGAAAUCAAAUCCGGCCUUAAUUGUAGCCCCCUAAACUGCAAAUUAUAAUUACC
rnacentral:lncRNA from 1 species